UGCUUUCUAGUCAUCUUUAUUUGCUGCUUCUCUGAGGAUGCAGGUCAUGAGCCUCACAUCCAAGGGAUACCAGCAGGGACCGUUCCUCAGCAAGAAAGCAGAGUUUCUGUCAUGUAUCAAAAUUAAACCUAGUUUCCUUUUCUUCUGAUUAUAUAAACGACACCUGCUUUUUGUGAAAGUUGAAAGAAAAAGCCAACCAGUCAAAAACGGUAAAGAGAAGAAAGUAAAAAUCAUGUGACAGUUCAUGCAUCAUCAAUAUUUAGUAACCAGUAGAGUAAAGUAAGCAGGAAGGCCCAGGAGAACGUUUCUUGAUCACAUCCCUCCCUCAAGAACAUCAUUUGGCAUCCGUCCGUGGACAAAAGUGCCUU